rnacentral:lncRNA from 1 species
GAACUCCAGUGUGAGAGCGAGAUAAGCACUCCAUGUUUGCAAUAUUCUAUGGGAAAUGCUAAAACAGAGAUUACAAAAAUAAUAGAGGAGAGGGGAAAGUAGGAGUGUGUAUGAGAGCCAGAGAGAUAAGCAGGAUGAAGCGUGUUGCAAGAGAAAACAGCAGGGCUUACGCACAGUGUUUGGGGGAUGACACAAGAGGCCCUGACAAGAUACUUUUUAUCAGCUUGAAGAAGAGGGGGCAUUUAUCUUGACAGACUAAUUACCCGCUUUGAGUUAGAUAUUGUUCCGUCUAU